rnacentral:rRNA from 1 species
UACGAAGGGGGCUAGCGUUGUUCGGAAUUACUGGGCGUAAAGCGUGCGCAGGCGGCCAUUCAAGUCAGGGGUGAAAGCCCAGAGCUCAACUCUGGAACUGCCUUUGAGACUGUGUGGCUAGAGUGCGGGAGAGGUGAGUGGAAUUCCCAGUGUAGAGGUGAAAUUCGUAGAUAUUGGGAAGAACACCGGUGGCGAAGGCGGCUCACUGGCCCGUUUCUGACGCUCAUGCACGACAGCGUGGGGAUCAAACAGG